GACUGUGAUGAUUUUUAUUUUUUUUUAUUUUACUCACCGCUUAUUUCGGUUAUUCGCGAAGUGCUUACGUGCCGCAUCUCCUAAAUUAGCACGUUUCGUUUUUCCAUGCUGUUUGAGAGAACCAGGCUUCCUUCCUCUGGAAGGAUCCACCACGCCCCGCUGAAGUUGAGGAGGUCAGAGGAGAGAGGAGUAGUAGUACCGGAGGGAAUCAGCGUGGGAGGAGCGCCCACGGCGGAGAUAUGCAGGCGGGUUGUCGUCCAUGUGUCCUUGCACGGUUGCUCCGACCUUCCCCCUGCCCGAGCCCUCCUGCUCCGAGGCCCCUCCCCAUGGCCUGAUCUUCCCAGUCCGAGGCCCCUCACCAUGGCUGCCGGCCUUCUCUCCCCCUCCCUCCCACUCUCCAAUCUUCAAAGGGGGAGUAGCAGCGCUUGACUGACGGCCGCAAAGGGCAUGAUGUAUCAUGUAUGGGCUCCUUCCGGACGGCUCACUCUAUUUCAUUGCAUAAGUAUGAAACACAAUCAGAUUCAGUACAGGGAACUACAAGACCGACAAGCAAAAGCCUUUUUCUGGCCCUUGGCAGGAUGAUGUGUUGUCUCCUCUGGAUCACCCUUGAGAAGCUUUCAAAGUUGUUUGGGCUUAGAGUUUUGUGCGCCUUUUCCUGUCAGUUGAGUUCUUGAAGCGAAUGGGGAGGUAUGCAAUCAUGGACUGAUAUGAUUAAUUUGGUACUGGAUGACAUGCACCGCAUAUUAGUUCUACAACAGCCAAGGAAGUUGAGAUCUGAGUUAUGGUUGUUAAGCAUGAAAAGAAACUUACUGGACAUUCCAAGCCACUAUCUUUUGUUUCAUGUAUGUGAUCAUUAAUUAAUUAUAUCUGAGCUCAUAUUUAAGAAACAACAAUAUGCAGUCAUCACUUAGUUUAUAUCAAAGAAUUCUAAACAUGUCUCAUCCCUCACAAUUUUUUCUUGAAGAAUUAUAGGAGCAGGGUGCGGUAUGUGCCAAUUAACACAUGUUGUUAUUGUUAUUCCAAUAGUUUAGAGUAGAGGUCAAUUAGUUGACAUUUCAUUCAGAUUUACGAACUUCUGAAGCUCCACUAGCCUUUCUAUGACUUUGCUAUACUGAUAAGAUAAGAGGUGGUGGUUCUAUGGUGAUAAACAUCAGGUCACGUCUUAGGUCAAUUUAUCCUAUAAUUAGACAUAUUGUUUUUGCUGUCCCUGUUAGAAACUAGACAGGUUGCUUUUGCUCUCCAAGUUGAAUAUUUGUUACACGGUUCGCUCUGUUUAUGAAUGUGUGGAAGGCGAUUGGUUAUAAGUAUCCUUGUGCUCAAAAUUAUUGCUUAUUUGCUUCUUCGCUUCCCUCCUUUCUGGAGAUAUUUGCCUCUCACCUGUCAUGGACGAGUUUGCUUCUGAAGCCAAUUGGUUUUCUAUGGAAGGCAAUAUUGCAGCUCAUACUUACACUUACGGUUCUUGGGUUGCUUCUGAAGAAGAUUGUCUCUUUAUGGAAAGCGAUGUUCCAGCUGCCUAUAAUGUUACUUAGAAAUAUUAAGCAAUCCAUUGGUUUAUGCAGUGGUACCUGGCCAAUGUUAUGAGCCUUGAAGAAUGUGUUUUUGAAGCAGAGAUAAUGAUUGGGAGCAACAAAGGCCAGCGCUUAUGCGUACCAAGAAUAUUUCUGAAUGCUUCGUCGUUGAGGUGGCCUUUUACAUUACAACACCAUCAAUACACUGUCUGCCUUUGCUAUGUGAUGUCCGUGAACAAGAAACAGGGACAGACUCGAGAAAGAGUAGGUGUGUAAUUGCCGAAGCCAGUAUUUUUCAACUGUCAGUUCAAGUUUGCUAUUUCAAGAGUAACAGACAGACACGAUUGAAAAUAGUUGCCACGAAUGAAAGCGGCAAAACAAGCACUGAAACUAGGAAUAUUAUAUACCCAGAAGUUCCUGACAACCUAUAGAAAUAGUGUGCAGUGACACUUGCAGGGUAGGGUUACAUGUCGAUUGGGAAUUUGGGAUCUCUACCCCUAAGAUGGCCUACACAUAUGCAUGUGCUAGCGAUGUUAUGUAUAAAUGGUCAGCUGCCUGUGCUUACACAUGGUAUUGUGUUCUAAGGGCCAUAUUUAGUAUCUGCUUCAUUUCAACUUUUAGUUAGCUUACCUUUCUUCUCCAAGAAGCCCAGAUGAAUCCUUCUUUCAUGUUCAUGCUGACCUUAAAUAAUCUGAACUUAACUA